rnacentral:tRNA from 1 species
GGAGAGAUGGCUGAGUGGUCUAAAGCGACUGAUUGCUAAUCCGUUGCAGCUUUUAGCUGCCGAGGGUUCGAAUCCCUCUCUCUCCG